GGGCGAUUGGCUCAGUUGGUUAGAGCGUCACAUUCACAUUGUGAAGGCCAGAGGUUCAAGUCCUCUAUCGCCCA
rnacentral:tRNA from 1 species